rnacentral:rRNA from 1 species
UACGUAGGGGGCGAGCGUUGUCCGGAAUUAUUGGGCGUAAAGAGCGUGUAGGCGGCUUGGCAAGUCUGACGUGAAAGCCCGCGGCUCAACCGCGGAUUGUCGUUGGAAACUGCCUCGCUAGAGUCCGGAAGAGGAGAGCGGAAUUCCUGGUGUAGCGGUGAAAUGCGCAGAUAUCAGGAAGAACACCCGUGGCGAAGGCGGCUCUCUGGGACGGUACUGACGCUGAGACGCGAAAGCGUGGGGAGCGAACAGG